GACGAACGCUGGCGGCGUGCUUAACACAUGCAAGUCGAACGGAAAGGCCCUGCUUUUGUGGGUUGCUCGAGUGGCGAACGGGUGAGUAACACGUGAGUAACCUGCCCUUGACUUUGGGAUAACUUCAGGAAACUGGGGCUAAUACCGGAUAUGAUCUCCUGCUGCAUGGUGGGGGUUGGAAAGUUUCGGCGGUGGUGGAUGGACUCGCGGCUUAUCAGCUGGUUGGUGGGGUAGUGGCUUACCAAGCCUUUGACGGGUAGCCGGCCUGAGAGCGGGACCGGCCACAUUGGGACUGAGAUACGGACCAGACUCCUACGGGAGGCAGCAGGGGGGAAUAUUGCAGAAUGGGCGGAAGCCUGAUGCAGCAACGCCGCGUGCGGGAUGACGGCCUUCGGGUUGUAAACAGCUUUCGACGGUGACGAAGCGUGAGUGACGGUAAUGGGUAAAGAAGCACCGGCUAACUACGUG
rnacentral:rRNA from 1 species